GGGCGGUGUGUACAAGGCAUGCAAGUCGAGCGAGAAGCCGGCCUUCGGGCUGGUGGAGAGCGGCGGACGGGUGAGUAACACGUGGGUAACCUGCCCUGGAGUGGGGGAUAACCCGGCGAAAGCCGGGCUAAUACCGCAUACGACCCCCGAUGAGAGAUCGGGUGGUGAAAACUCCGGUGCUCCGGGAGGGGCCCGCGGCCGAUUAGCUAGUUGGUGAGGUAACGGCCCACCAAGGCGACGAUCGGUAGCUGGUCUGAGAGGAUGAUCAGCCACACGGGGACUGAGAACGGCCCCGACUCCUACGGGAGGCAGCAGCUAAGAAUCUUGCGCAAUGGGCGAAAGCCUGACGCAGCAACACCGCGUGCGGGAGGAAGGCCUUCGGGUUGUAAACCGCUUUUGCGAGGGAAGAAGUACUGACGGUACCUCGCGAAUAAGUCACGGCUAACUACGUGCCAGCAGCCGCGGUAAUACGUAGGUGACAAGCGUUGUCCGGAUUUACUGGGCGUAAAGCGCCCGCAGGCGGCCUCACAAGUUUCAGGUGAAAUCUCCCGGCUCAACCGGGAGGGGUCCUGGAAAACUGCGAGGCUUGAGGCAGGGAGGGGAAUGCGGAAUUUCCGGUGUAGCGGUGAAAUGCGUAGAUAUCGGAAGGAACACCAGCGGCGAAGCGGCAUUCUGGCCCUGUCCUGACGCUCAGGGGCGAAAGCGU
rnacentral:rRNA from 1 species